GAUGAAGAACGUAGCGAAACGCGAUAAGUAAUGUGAAUUGCAGAAUUCAGUGAAUCAUCGAAUCUUUGAACGCACAUUGCGCCCCUCGGUAUUCCGAGGGGCAUGCCUGUUCGAGCGUCAUUAUAACCCUUCAAGCUCAGCUUGGUGUUGGGGCCUGCUGUAACUGGUAGCCCUUAAAAUCAGUGGCAGUGCUAUUAGGCUCUAAGCGUAGUAAUUCUUCUCGCUAUAGUGUGUAGUGAGCGCUUGCCAGAACCCCAAACUUUUAUAUGAUUGACCUCGGAUCAGGUAGGGAUACCCGCUGAACUUAAGCAUAUCAAUAAGCGGAGGA
rnacentral:misc_RNA from 1 species